UCGAGAAUCUUCCACAAUGGACGCAAGUCUGAUGGAGCGACAUCGCGUGACUGAUGACGGGCUUCGGUCUGUAAAGGUCUUUUAUGAAGGAAGAAGUUUAUUGACGGUACUUCAUGAAUAAGGGGUUGCUAAACUCGUGCCAGCAGCAGCGGUAAUACGAGUACCCCGAGCGUUAUCCGGAAUUAUUGGGCGUAAAGGAUGUGUAGGUGGUUAUGUUAGUCGUGUGUUAAAGCCCGGAGCUCAACUUCGGAUCCGCAUACGAAACGGCAUGACUAGAGGUUGCGAGAGGUGAACGGAACUCUAUGUGUAGGGGUGAAAUCCGUUGAUAUAUAGGGGAACACCAAAAGCGAAGGCAGUUCACUGGCGCACACCUGACACUGAGACAUGAAAGCGUGGGUAG
rnacentral:rRNA from 1 species